CUGUAUUUAGUUAGUUUAAUUUUAUUUCUGUGUCAUGCCAAACAUUUGGCCCAUCCAACAUGGGAUUACAAGACACCACAAACUUAUUUAGCAAACGUCUUCUGGUCGCAUUAACAAAUAAUUUGGAGAAAUACAUGAAUAGAAAU